rnacentral:rRNA from 1 species
AGUCAAUAGAUACCCAGGUAGUCCACGCCGUAAACGAUGAAUACUAGGUGUAGGGGUUGUCAUGACCUCUGUGCCGCCGCAAACGCAUUAAGUAUUCCGCCUGGGGAGUACGGUCGCAAGAUUAAAACUCAAAGGAAUUGACGGGGGCCCGCACAAGCAGCGGAGCAUGUGGCUUAAUUCGAAGCAACGCGAAGAACCUUACCUAGACUUGACAUCUCCUGAAUUACUCUGUAAUGGAGGAAGCCCUUCGGGGCAGGAAGACAGGUGGUGCAUGGUUGUCGUCAGCUCGUGUCGUGAGAUGUUGGGUUAAGUCCCGCAACGAGCGCAACCCUUAUUGUUAGUCGCUACCAUUAAGUUGAGCACUCUAGCGAGACUGCCCGGGUUAACCGGGAGGAAGGUGGGGAUGACGUCAAAUCAUCAUGCCCCUUAUGUCUAGGGCUACACACGUGCUACAAUGGCUGGUACAGAGAGAUGCUAAACCGUGAGGUGGAGCCAAAC